GUGAGAGGACAAGGAGUGUCCUGAGGUCUGGAUGAGAGCGCGAGUGUGAGAGGCUGAAGUCUCCCCAUUCCCUGAGACACAACAAUAUUGCAAUGAGGCCAAUCAAUAACCCUACAAUGGCCUCUAAGUGUUCAAGUAAAAGGAAAAGUCACCUGUUUCUCACUUUAAAUGAUCAAGAUUAGUGAGGAAGGCAUGUUGAAAGCAGAGACAGGCUAAAAGCUAGGCCCCUUCUGCCAAACAGUUGGCCAAAGUUUCCAUGGUCUGGAUAGAAGAUCAAACCCGUCACAACAUUCCCUUAGGCCGAAGCCUAAUCUGGAGAAAGGCCCUAAUUCUUCUCAAUUCUAUGAAGGCCGUGAGAGGUGAGGAAGCCGCAGAACAAAAGUCAGAAACUAGCAGAGGUUGGUUCAUGAGAUUUAAGGAAAGAAGCCAUCUUCACAACAUAAAAGGGCAAGGUGAAGCAGCAACUGCUGAUGGAGAAGCUGCAGCGAGUUAUCUAGAAUAUCUAGCUAAGAUCAUUGAUGAAGGUGGCUACGCUAAACAACCGAUUUUCAGUGUAGAUGAAAGAGUCUUUCAUUAACAGAAGAUGUUAGCUUGGACUUUCACAGCUAAAGAGAAGUCAAUGCCUGGCUUCAAAGUUUCAAAGAGCAGGUUGAUUCUCCUGCUAGGGGCUAAUGCAGCUGGUGACUUUAAGUUAAGGUGAAUGCUCAUUUUACCAUUCCAAAAAUCCUAGGGCCCUUAAGAAUUAUGCCAAAUCUACUCUGCCUGUGCUCUAUAAAUGGAACAACAAAGGCUGGAUGACAGCACAUCUGUGUAUAGCAUAGUUCCCUGAAUAUUUUAAGCCCGCUGUUGAUAACUACUACCCAGAAGAAAAAGAUUUCUUUCAAAAUAUUGCCACACAUUGACAAUGUACCUAGUCAACCAAGAACUCUGAUGGAGAUGAACAAGGAGAUGAAUGUUGUUUCCUUUUUCUUUUCUUUUUUUUUUUUUUUUUUUGAGACGGAGUCUCCCUCUGUCGCCCAGGCUGGAGUGCAGUGGCGCGGUCUCGGCUCACUGCCACCUUUGCCUCCCAGGUUCACGCCAUUCUCCUUCCUCAGCCUCCUGAGUAGCUGGGACUACAGGCGCCCACCACCAUGCCUAGCUAAUUUUUUGUAUUUUUAGUAGAGACGGGGUUUCACCGUGUUAGCCAGGAUUGUCAAAUGAAUAUUGUUUUCAUGCCUGCUAACACAACAUCCAUUCUGCAGCCCAUGGGUUAAGUAGUAAUUUAGACUUUCAAGCUUUAUUAUUUAAGACAUGUAUUUUGUAAGGCGAUAGCUGCCAUAGGCAGUGAUUCCUUUGAUGAAUCUUGGCAAAAUAAAUUGAAAACCUUCUGGAAAGGAUUCGCCAUUUCAGAUGUCAUUUUAAGAACAUUCAUGAUUCCUAAGAGAAGGUCAAAAUAUCAACAUCAGCAGGAUUUUGGAAGAAGUUGAUUCCAACUCUCACGGAUUACUUUGAAGAGUUCAAGACUUCAGUGGAGGAAAUAAUUGCAGAUGUGGUGGAAAUAUCAAGGAAAUAGAGUUAGAAGUAAAACCUGAAGAUGUGGCUGAAUUGCUGAAAUCUCAUGAUCAAACUUGAAUUCAUGAGGAGUAGCUUCUUAUGGAUGAGCAAAGAAAGUGGUGUCUUGACUGGUUUCUGGUGAAGAUGCUGUGAACAUUGUUAAAAUGACAACAAAGCAUUUAGAAUAUUCCAUCAACCAAGUUAAUAAAGCAGUGGCAGGAUUUGACUCCAAUUUUGAAAGAAGUUCUACUGUGAGUAAAAUGCUAUGAAAUAGCAUUGCCUGCUACAGAGAAGUCUCUGGUGAAAGGAAGAGUCAAUUGAUGUGGUACACUUCAUUGUUGUCUUAUUUUAAGCAAUUGUAGCAGCCACCCCCACCUUCAGCAACCACCACCCUCAUCAGUCAGCAGCCGUCAACAUGGGGCGAGACCUUCCAUCAGCAAAAAGAUUGUGACUCCCUGAAGAAUCAGAUGAUCGUUAGAAUCUUUUAGCAAUAAGUAUUUUAAAAUUAAGGUAUGACAUUGUUGCUCUAGACAUAAUGCUAUUGCACACUUAAUGGGCUACAGAAUAGUGUAAACCUAACUUUUAUAUGCACUGGGAAACCAAAAUAUUCGUGAGUUUCUUUAUUGUGAUAUGCACUUUAUUGCAGUAACCUGGAAGCAAACCUGCAAUAUCUCGAAGGUGUGCCUGUAUAUUUCCGUGUUUAUCAUUAUCUGUUUGAUGUUUGUCUGUUCUCCAGACUAUAAGCUCCUUCCAUGAGUACAGGACCUGGCACCUACAAGGGGCCUAAUAAAUAGCUGUGGAAUGACUGAAUGAACAAAUGAUGGGGUAUGGCCUCUUCCAGGCAGCCUUCUCUGUGGCCCUCUCCUGCCAGGGUGGAGGUGAGCACUCAGCCCACAGCCAGCCUGUCCCCUGCUGGGCCGCGUGUGGCCACCUUCUGCCCUGAGCCUGGCUUCUCCUCUCUGCAGCUCCAGCACAUAC
rnacentral:lncRNA from 1 species